AGACCGAUAGCGAACAAGUAGAGUGAUCGAAAGAUGAAAAGCACUUUGGAAAGAGAGUCAAAUAGCACGUGAAAUUGUUGAAAGGGAAGCGCUUGCAGCCAGACUUGCCUGUAGUUGCUCAUCCGGGCUUUUGCCCGGUGCACUCUUCUGCGGGCAGGCCAGCAUCAGUUUGGGCGGUUGGAUAAAGGUCUCUGUCAUGUACCUCUCUUCGGGGAGAACUUAUAGGGGAGACGACAUACAACCAGCCUGGACUGAGGUCCGCGCAUUUGCUAGGAUGCUGCCGUAAUGGCUGUAAGCGGCCCGUCUUGAAACACGGACCAAG
rnacentral:rRNA from 1 species